AAAACGUGAAGUUGGGGCAGUAGGUGUUCGUCGGCAAUUGAAAGACAGUUCUACAAACCAGUCUUCAGGACCAAGUGUCUCUCUCACAAACUCAGUUGCUGAAAGGGAUGGUUCUUCUUCAGAUUCAUUUCAACCGUUGAGUUCCAUUUCUAAAGGUGAACAGCUCAGUCAAAUUACUGAAUCUGUUAUUACUGGCCUGGUAGGCAGCAGAUCAACGUUAAAU
rnacentral:misc_RNA from 1 species